CUCUGCCUAUGAUGAGUUGCGAUAUCAUUUUUGCCUACAUUGUCUGAUGUUUUUGUGAUAAUAAUUGCAACGACUGAGGCUUCA
rnacentral:snoRNA from 1 species